rnacentral:rRNA from 1 species
UACGUAGGGUGCGAGCGUUGUCCGGAAUUAUUGGGCGUAAAGGGCUCGUAGGCGGUUUGUCGCGUCGGGAGUGAAAACCUCGGGCUUAACUCGGGGCUUGCUUUCGAUACGGGCAGACUGGAGGUAUGCAGGGGAGAACGGAAUUCCUGGUGUAGCGGUGAAAUGCGUAGAUAUCACUUGGAACGCCAAUGGUGAAGACAGCUCGCUGGGGGUGUCCUGACGCUGAGGCGCGAAAGUGUGGGGAGCGAACAGG